UCCGGUUUGUCACCGGCAGUCUGCCUAGAGUCCCCAACUAAAUGCUGGCAACUAGGCACAGGGGUUGCGCUCGUUACGGGACUUAACCCAACAUCUCACGACACGAGCUGACGACAGCCAUGCAGCACCUGUCUCUUAGUUCCCGAAGGCACCCUCGCGUCUCCGCAAGGUUCUAAGGAUGUCAAGGGUAGGUAAGGUUUUUCGCGUUGCAUCGAAUUAAACCACAUGCUCCACCGCUUGUGCGGGCCCCCGUCAAUUUCUUUGAGUUUUAGCCUUGCGGCCGUAUUCCCCAGGCGGAGUACUUAAUGCGUUAGCUUCGCCACUGAAAGGCAGUGCCUCCCAACAGCUAGUACUCAUCGUUUACAGCGUGGACUAC
rnacentral:misc_RNA from 1 species